ACUUUUAAUAAGUAUUUGUCCGCAGAGGAAUUGGUAACAUGGCAAAAGAGGAACACAACUUAAAGUCCUUCUACACAAAUUAACUAAAGAGGCAUAAGGAGCUACCUCCAAAGGGGUGAAUGAAGACCUCAAGCCAUUGAACUGGGACAUAGUGACCAACCUAGGGUUGGUGGAUGGUAGGAGAAGCAGUGUUACUAAGGUACUCUGGGACCUACAGCUACAGAUGGAUGACAUCAGAAUGAGAGAAAUGGGUUUUUUUUGUUUGUUUGGUUGGUGUUUUGUUUUGUUUUGUUUUGUUUUGUUUUAAGGCAGGAACUGAACCUAGAAACCUAGAUAACAGCAUUAGAAUCCAACGUAGCUCCUGCUUCCCCUUAAUUCUCCUCCUUGUACUAUGGAGAAGGACGUUUUGACAACCAUGUCAAGGGAAGCUUCUCAUAGACAUAGUGCAGAGUGGAAAAGCAUCAGUAGACUAGGGAGGAAACAAGUGGAAGACACUCAAACCGUCUCGGUAUUCUACAUGGUUAUCACUAGGUUUCCAAAAGAUAAGGUAUGUGCACCUCCUUUAAAAAGUGCUCAGUAUUGCUUCCAAGCAUGGGUAAUAAUUGUGUCAAGAGCAUAUGGACAUGCCUUUCUUUAUGUUUCUUUUCCGGAGGAAUUUUAAUUUUUAUAAUUAGUUUGUGAGACAUGAGAAGGAGUUGGAAUAAGUUCAAAGAAAGUGACUUAAGGAUUAUGAACAGGUUUGAAGAGGAGGAGAGCUGGUUAAGGAAGCAGGAGCCAGAGAAGAACUCUUAAGGAGAAAGUCAUAAAACAAGGAUUGUGGAGGCCAGUUGGAGAGAUGGAGAGAUAUAGAGAUACUGGGUUUGCUUGUGCCAGGGAAGAUCACUGUAAUAAAUCCUCUUGAUUCUCACUAUAAAGUGAAUCUUCUUCAUAUUUAAUGUAAGCAGUGGAGCACUGGUAGAGCAUUGGUGAAGGACUGUACAAUGGGAGUGACAACCACACAAGCCAUUCCUUAGCUCAAAUUUUUUCAUGAAUUCAUGUGAGGGAAUAUUUCUAAGGAUGAAAGAAUUAUAGCUUAAGUGAAUAACUUUUUGUGAAUUAAAAUUUUAAAAGUCUUCCUUAUUACAGUAUCUAGAAAUCUUACUAACUUAAAAGUGAGCCAUAGAAAAUAUCUCUAGAGUCACAAACAUUUAGAACAAAACCUUUCAAAGAAAGAUCUGCCGAUGUCAGUGGUGGGCAAGAUCAGAGGUUCAAGAUCAGAGCUUCAAGAAAAAACUUUUCUCCCCUCCGAGAGGCUUGACUGUAAUUUCACAGUCUUCUCCACCACAGUGAGGGGAAAAACUAAAACUUGAAACUGGUUUAAAAAAUGAUUAAAAUUUAGAAAACGUGUCCUUCCCGUCAUAAGAUUUCACUUUAUAUUCUUCAUUUAAAAAAUCUCCAAGUGGAAGUUGAGAGGACUGUGAUGCCUGAACAGCUUCUACUGGAAGUGGGGUCUGAAACUUACAUGGGCUCCACUCUUGCUACAGGAUUUCUAUGAAAAACAAAACCAUGAACAAGCUUUACGAAUCUUCUCCAAAGACACCUUUCAAAGCUUUUGCAAGUGGAGGAAGAGGUAGGACAGCCCAUCAUCAAUAUGGUCCUAUGACUAUGCUUAAGGCACUUAUAAAUCCCAUCAGGCAAUAACUAAAAAUUACAGAAAGCAAUUUACAGAUAUCAUGAAGGUUCUAAGUUAUAUUGGCCACCUCACAAAGCACCACACUGCCAGUAAUAUUAGCUAAGUAAAGGUAAGCAGGGUACAUGGGAAAAAAUGAUUAUAGACUAUGCUUUAAUGCUAAACCAGCAUUAAAGGCUAGUAGUAAGAUUUUUUCCUCAGAUCCUAAGUACUCAAAUUGUAGCAUACUAUGCUGAUGAACAGAUGAAUUGCUUGUUUUGAGAGAAUGGCAUUCCCUUAUAGAAUGAAAACCCUAUGUCUUCAAUGCCACGUACAUCUUCCAAAGGCCAGCUGACAACUACAGUACAUUCACCACCUGUUGGUUUAAGCUCUCAGCUUCUUAAGGUUCCAUUGUGUCCUGGAUCCUAAGCAGAUUGCCCACCAAGCUACAGACCUGCUCCAGGUCAUCUUAUGAAUGGACGUCAUUUACACUAUUCACCUCACACUCGGCCUUUCUGGGACAGCAUGAAAUAUGAAUGCUCAUUGUAUUACACUCCGGAGGUAAGAAGCUGUGGCAAGAUUGACGAAAUAAUUAUGUAAAUAAUGACUGACGUCUAGGGAAGACUAAUGGAGGAAAAAGCUGAAUAACAUUAAAAAGUUAAUAUAUUUAACGUUAACCUUUGUAGCUCUCAGUAAUAAUUCAAAUAUAAGAAAAUUGUUGUCGAAAGCAUAGGAAUAUUGAAGUAGAACAAAAAUGUCAUGGUAAAAAAAUGAACACGUAGUUCUCUUGGAAACUGAAAGAUAUUUUUCUACUAGAAUAUUAAAAGCUAAACACUGAGUUUUAUUAAUUUUGAGUGCUGUUAUUCUUUCCAAAUUAGUCUUACCUAGAAAAGUCAGACUUUUGUUUUUAAUUAUGUGUUCCUAUCAAAAUCAGAAUCUAAACAACAAAACUGAUGUAAGGAUUGUUUCAGUCUAAAAGAAAAACCAUCACUGGAAGAUCAAACAAAGGAAAGUUAAGGCGCUUCGGCUUUAUCUUUUACUGACCCACAUUGAGCUGAUCCUUCAAACCUCUCAGCCUUGAUGUUAUAAAAGCAUUCAUGACGAUUAUUUCCUAUAAAAUCACGAGAAGUCAACAAUUGUAACACAGGGUAGAAUGAGAGCAGGAGGUUUGAGAUUAGAAGGUUUUCAGGUAAACAAGGGAGAGUACUGCUCCUGAGAAAAAUACUAUUGGUCAAUCUUGAUAGAAAAAUAACAGCUGAGAUCAUUACAAGAAAAGAAUGAUAUUGAUACUUUGGGAGUUCUUUCUUUUCUAAGGAAAAAACAUUAGAUUCUAAAGAGAAACAUUGGAUGAAGUCUGUGGUUUAAUUCUUGCAUUUCCACAAGGAGAGAAAAUAAAGAUAUAUACUUACCCAUCUUGUCUUUAACAAGAAAAUAAAGAUGGCAGAUGCUUG
rnacentral:lncRNA from 1 species